UACGUAGGGUCCGAGCGUUGUCCGGAAUUACUGGGCGUAAAGAGCUCGUAGGUGGUUUGUCGCGUUGUUCGUGAAAACUCACAGCUUAACUGUGGGCGUGCGGGCGAUACGGGCAGACUGGAGUACUGCAGGGGAGACUGGAAUUCCUGGUGUAGCGGUGGAAUGCGCAGAUAUCAGGAGGAACACCGGUGGCGAAGGCGGGUCUCUGGGCAGUAACUGACGCUGGAGGAGCGAAAGCGUGGGGAGCGAACAGGAUUAGAUACCCGGAGUAUC
rnacentral:rRNA from 1 species